CGUUAUUAAAAAAAUAACAAAAAAUAGAAAAAAAUAACAAAAAAUUUAAAUUUUUUUUUUUUUAAAAAAAACCUGCUGCCAGCCAGUCAUUCCGGCCACCCCACCGCCAAACCCCCUUACUACCGAACCCCAUCAACCAGCACCGGCAGGCGCACCUCCCCUUUAUGAUUUCGGCCACCCCACCCCUCCCCUUCCGAUUUCAGUGCCACCAGCCAUUCCAGCAGCCCCCUUCCCCUCCCUUUCCUCGCACCCCCUUUCCUCACACCAGAAUCGAAGCAUUUCCGUUUCUAUUACCAUUUCCGUUCAAUUUCAAGCUAUCCACUCCAUUAAUCACCAGAAUUUCUCUCUCCUCCGUUGACGGAACCGUAUUCUCCCUUACAGCUUGAAUUCACUGAAAUCUAGGGUUCUGCGAACUGCAACUUCAAAAGUUAAACCAGUAACAAAGAGGGAAAAAGGUUGAUUAAAUAAGCCUUCUGAGAUUCGAGCAGAAGGUGGGCUUCUCCCCCUAUUUUCGAGAGUUUGCACGCCUGAAUUUGGGGUGUGAACCACCAGAUCGAGGCCAACACCUAUUGAAACAGUCAUAGCAGCAGAAAAGGAGUUCGCAAAAGGAACUUGAGUAGAGUUUUCCGAUGAGUUCCCGGAAUCAGAGUUGCCAUCUCCAGCGAGAAUUGUUGGAGAGGAGGGGUUUCGCGACGGGAAAGAGGAGGGGAGGGGGAGGGCUUGCUUCGGCGGCCGCCGGAACGCCUGCCGGUGAGGGUGCAGGUCGCCGGCGGCAGGGAGCGGGUGGUGGAAGGGGUGGUGGCUGGGUGGUUUUUUUUAAUUUUUUUUAAUUGUUUUUCAUUUUUUUUAAAAAAAAUAUUAUUUUUGUCAAAACUAACCAAUUAGAAAGUGACCCGUGGCAAGUGGUGGGGUCAACUAACGGCCGUCAGUCAUUAAUGGCACUCGGUGAAUUUUUGUAAACCUCGGUGGCAUUUGGUGAAUUUGGAAAAGGCUCAUGGCAUUUGGUAAAUUUCGCAAUUGCUUAGUGGCAUUUGGUGAAAUAGCCGUAAAAAAAUUAUAAGCCAUUUUUAGAUCCUUAUAUCCCCUUUCCCGCGAAACUCUUCUCGACCACGACGGAGCUUGAGGCGAGCAAUCUGUACCAAAUUUUAGGCGUGGUGCUUAAGUUACUCGGGCAAAUAAUCACCAAAUUUUGCACCUCCGUUGUCCAUCUCUUUGGGUCGAAGGGAACAGGGUAAGGUAUUGUUACUCAGGCAACAAAUCACCUUUUUUUGAAGCUCCGUUCUUCAUAUCUUUGUGUUGAAGUGAACAGGGUUAUCAAUGGAGGUUGAAGAUCCUGCGGUAAUUGGUGAACCACUCGAUUUGGAGCAAGGAAUUGAACUAAUUGAGUUGGAAGCGGAAGAAACGGAGGUCUUUUUGAUGAGACAUAUGUGGAUCCGCGCAUAUACAAAACACCUAUUUUGGGCUAGAAUGAAAACUACGCAGCGUUCUGAGAGCAUUAAUAGCUUUUUUGAUAAGUAUGUGAAGAGGGACACUCGGUUGUUUGAGUUUGCAGAGAGGUACUUCGAUGCCAUGGAAAAUAGGACAAACGCGGAGAAAGAAACAGAUGCAAAUAGUGCCAUAAGGGUGAGACAACUCAUUACCGACUUUGAAUAGGAGAGAGCCUUUCAAAAGGUGUACACUGAUGCCAAGUUUGAAAAGGUCCAGGAGCAGUGUACCAGGCUUAUGUACGUGAGUGUUCUCUAGAAAACGCAAAUAUCAGAAACUGUUGUGGAGCAUUUGGUUGAAGAUAGGGUAUGGAAAUAUGUGAAAGAGUUGAAGAAGGAGAUGCCAAGCCCGAGUAAGAGAGUUUACACUAUAAACUUCAACCCUGAAAUGAAAGAUGCUUUGUGUGAAUGCAAGCAAUUUGAGUGUCAUGGGAUUCAUGUGUAGGCAUCAGUUAAAGGUGUAUGAUGUGAAUGAUGUGACUGAAGUGCCAUCUAAGUAUUUACUAAGGUGUUGGCGUAAAGACAUUCACAUGCGUCAUACUCGUGUGAAGGUGGCAUACCAUGACCCUACGAAAACGGAAGAAGUGAAGAGGUAUGAUAAAAUAUUGACUCGGUUUGAUAGUGUUUGCUUGAAGGUAGCUACUCGUCCAGAAUAUGUUAAGAUGGCCUUUGAAGCCAUUAGCAAGCUAGAAAGUAAGUUGGAUGCUGCCAUAGAAAAAGAGAAGGAGAAGGAGAAGAAGAAAGAGAAGGGUAACUCUAAUUCAGGCUAUAGGGCAUCAUCUCCAUCUGUGAACAAUAACGGUCCAAAUCAGGUUGAAGAGCCAAUUGCGACAAUGAGUAGAUUUGUUGUUGAGUCUCUUGGAAACUUGUCCGCCAUAGGCCUUGAAGACAUAUCCCUUGACCUGGAAGGUCUUAAUGAUAAUACACCGCUCAUAACAAUGGAAACACCCCAAUUGGUUUCACAUAAUGUUAGUUUGGUGAAUGUGAGUCCUUCUGUUGUUGGGAAAGUCUAUUUCAGUCGGGGAUCCAAUAUCCAAGAGAAAACCACAUAGACCAAGGGGUAAGCGAUUCCUUUCAUGUACAGAGAAAGGUCGUACCAGACCCAGUAAUAAAUAGCGCAAAAAUGGUCCACUUACCACUCAGGAAAAUUUACAAGACACUUCUCAGGGGAUUGAACCCUUUGCCCAAGAACCCUAACCUGCUAAAAACAAAACAAACAAGGAAGUCUAAUAUUAAGGAAUCAGCACCAAGUACGCAUGAAAGUGUAAAAUGAAUUCUUUGUGUGGAAUCAGUAGCUAAGUUGGGUGAGGGGAACAGGGGGUAAUAAUUUUUUUGUUUUAAAUCCAUGGACAAGAAGCAAAUUAGUGGUCUUCAUAUCCACCAAGCAUGAGCACAAAUGCCCCCCAGUGGGUUUGUGGUAUCGGCUAUGGACCAAGCUACGGCGAACUUGGUUAUUUUACCAGAUGAAUUCAUUCAUGCCCAGAGUGGGUAAUACGUACUUCGGGAUGUUCAUUCCUUUUGUUUCUACUACAAGUACCCUUACAAUGCAUCACAGUGUGGAAAUCAUUUCGGUUUAGGACGCUUAUGAGUUCAUUGGGGGAGAUUCCUUUUUGGCAGAAUUUUGGAAGCCUGCCAUGGCCAAAAAUGUGAAGCAGGAUGGAAUAUGUGUUGUUUAACAUAUUAGUGGCCCCAAAAUGGUUAUAUUUUGCUGUAAUUUUGAUCAAACGUCAUAUUUCUCAUUUUGUAUUCCAAACAAAUAUUGAAAAUGGUUGAAUGGUAUAA